CCCUUAGAUGUUCUGGGCCGCACGCGCGUUACAAUGAAUCGUUCAACAGGUUUCUUCCUGAGUCGAAAGGCUUGGGUAAUCCUUUAAAUACGGUUCGUGCUAGGGAUAGAUUUUUGCAAUUAUUAAUCUUGAACGAGGAAUAUUUAGUAAACGCAGGUCAUCAGCCUGCAUUGAUUACGUCCCUGCCCUUUGUACACACCGCCCGUCGCACCAACCGAUUGGAUGUUUUGUUGAAAUAUGUGGAUGCUUGUUGGGUGAAUUCAUUUUUGCUUGAUAGACGGAAACGUAUUAAAACUGAAUAUCUAGAGGAUGGUGAAGUCGUAACA
rnacentral:rRNA from 1 species